GGCGGCAGCACCCAGCAGCUCAUAUGGAAUUACUGCAGUGACCUUGACCAAGACGUGGCCAGAACUCCUAUGCCGCCCACCUGCCCUCUGCCACCAGACUCCUCCCUGGGAAGGAAAGAUGCCAGCACAGGACAUUCUUCCAUUGUACGUGACUGAUGUAAAACUUUCAUCUACCCAGUGUUGUAUUAACAGAUUUUCCUGUGGGUAGAUGAACACAUGGAGCCUGGUUUCAAUAGGCUGGACUGAAGAUAUGGAUCCAUGGAGACAUGGAUGGGCUUUGCCAUCCUUUAAGGGCCAAAGCCUUUCUGGGGAAUGCUGUCCAGCUGCUUUUACCAGGAAGAUGACACUUACUGACAUCAGACCAAGACAGACCCCGCACAGAGCUCACUCUGCCUCGGGAACCUGCUCCAAGUAAAGUCCAAUGUCCCAAACUCAGGUCUGGGAUGCCUCUACAAAAAGCCCCAUUCCAGCAGUGAUGAACACAUGAGGAAAAUGGUGAUGAGCCCAGACACACAAGCAGAUGGAUGGACUGGAGGGGUGUCUCUAACACGAGGCCUUACCACGGCUCACAACUUUUAGAGCACAAAUUUCUCUCAUUUAAGAGUGAUUAGUCUUGGAAGGAAGCAUGUAACACCUGGCUCAGAAUGGGGCAUGGGUACCUGGAGCUCAUUGGAAAGAGAUGGCAAGAUCAGCACAAGAAGGAAAAUUUUGAGUGCAAAACCAGGCAGGGUGGCAACACCCCUUGGGACAGUGUUUUUACUGGGAUCCAGAAUGCCUCAGAGAAGCAUCCCAUCAGCAAGUCCCAAGGGGAGACUGGACAAGGUGCCAAAAACACGAUAAAAACCAGGAUGGAUUUGUCUACUCUCCUGGUACCAGUAUUCAUGAGUACAAGAACACCCUGCUCACUCACCUGCUAGCCAAGCACAAUCAAGACACAAAGAACAUACCUCAUGGUAACUGGCACUUUUAAAUUCUCCUUUAGCAGAAAUACCAGUAUUUUCCAGUCUUAAUGUUUUCUGAGGUGGUGAUGCUUCUUGCCUUGUCUCUUCUUGGCAAGCAUCAUCUGUAGCAGUAACAGAUGACCUAGCAGGAGUCUCACAUCACAGUGUGUCAGAAAAAAGACAGCCCAGUAUUUGUAAUCACUGAAUCACUUCAGAAAGAAGAAUCUCCACUCAAUCUGUGUAAACAUGGUUAUUUAUUUCAUUUUUUUAAAAGCAAGUUUAUUUCUACAUACAGAGGGCUUCACUUCCACUUCAGAGCAUGUUACUGCUUUACAUCCUCAAAUAAAGAUACCAUUUCACUCACCAUUGAAUCCAGCAGCCUGUAAACCUACAGAAAUUCAGAGAAGACUGCAGUGAAAACACAUGAAGAAAUCUUGAGGCUGAUACUGACAGAAAUGGUUUGAGGUACAUUUGAGGUACAUUUUCAUAUGUGCACGCACACAACCACACAGAAGUGGCGGCCUGCUGCUAACAGAGCUCUAGUAGUAACUUCCCUGGCUAUGAAGUGUGUUUAACAUUAUCUGAGGUACAAUUAAUUCAGCUGAUCCCUCCAGAGUCUGCAAGCAAUGCUAAAGGCAUCCCAGAUAGAAGUCCCGCAUGUGGCUGGAUAAUGGCUGGAU